rnacentral:tmRNA from 1 species
GGGGCCGACAUGGUUUCGACCGGGCAGGGAAGGCUUGGUGUGGCGUGCCGAGGGGCGUGCUGGCCUCGUAAAAAGCACGCAAACUCAAUGACUGCCGAACCGCAGUACGCUCUGGCGGCCUAACAGUGCCGUCGAU